rnacentral:rRNA from 1 species
AGGGCGCAUGGUGAAUGCCUAGGCACUAGAAGCCGAUGAAGGACGUGACGAACCACGAAAGGCUUCGGGGAGCAGUAAGUAAGCGAUGAUCCGGAGAUAUCCGAAUGGGGGAACCCAAUACCGCGAGGUAUUAUCAAGAGCUGUUAAGGCUGUUGAAGGAAGACGCAGUGAACUGAAACAUCUAAGUAGCUGCAGGAAGAGAAAGAAAAAUCGAUUUCCCAAGUAGCGGCGAGCGAACAGGAAAGAGCCCAAACCAGCUGGCUUGCCAGUUGGGGUAGUAGGACUGCAAUAAAGUACUUGAAGCGAUAGCAGAAUUAUCUGGAAAGAUAAGCCAGAGAGGGUGAGAGCCCCGUAAGCGAAAUUGCAGAGAGACUUAGCAGGAUCCUGAGUAGGUCGGGACACGAGGAAUCCCGAUUGAAACCGCGAGGACCAUCUCGCAAGGCUAAAUACUAACUAGUGACCGAUAGUGAACCAGUACCGUGAGGGAAAGGUGAAAAGAACCCCGGAAGGGGAGUGAAAGAGAACCUGAAACCGUGUGCCUACAAGUAGUCAAAGCACAUUAAAGUGUAAUGGCGUGCCUUUUGUAGAAUGAACCGGCGAGUUACGUUAUGGUGCAAGGUUAAGUCAGAAAAGACGGAGCCGGAGCGAAAGCGAGUCUGAAGAGGGCGAGAGAGUAUCAUGACGUAGACCCGAAACCAAGUGACCUACCCAUGACCAGGUUGAAGGCGUGGUAAAACACGCUGGAGGACCGAACCCACGUGAGUUAAAAAUCGCGGGGAUGAGUUGUGGGUAGCGGUGAAAUUCCAAACGAACUUGGAGAUAGCUGGUUCUCUCCGAAAUAGCUUUAGGGCUAGCCUCGUGUGAAUGAUAAUGGAGGUAGAGCGCUGUUUGGACUAGGGGCCCGUCAGGGGUUACUGAAUCCAGAUAAACUCCGAAUGCCAGAUAUCAAUGCACGGGAGUCAGACUGCGAGUGAUAAGAUCCGUAGUCGAAAGGGAAACAGCCCAGAUCACCAGUUAAGGUCCCCAAAUCUAUGCUAAGUGGAAAAGGAUGUGGAGUUGCGUAGACAACUAGGAUGUUGGCUUAGAAGCAGCCACCAUUUAAAGAGUGCGUAAUAGCUCACUAGUCGAGUGACGCUGCGCCGAAAAUGUACCGGGGCUAAGCAUAGUACCGAAACUGUGGAUGCAUAUCAAAGGAUAUGCGUGGUAGGAGAGCGUUCUAAGUGCGGCGAAGUUAGAUCGAGAGGACUAAUGGAGCGCUUAGAAGUGAGAAUGCCGGUAUGAGUAGCGAAAGAUAGGUGAGAAUCCUAUCCGCCGAAAGACUAAGGUUUCCUGGGGCAGGCUCGUCCGCCCAGGGUAAGUCGGGACCUAAGGUAAGGCCGAGAGGCGUAGCCGAUGGACAACAGGUAGAGAUUCCUGUACUGAAAUUGUUCGAUAAGAGCAAAGGAGGGACGCAGGAGGCUAAUGACGCAUGUAGCUGGAAAAACAUGUGCAAGCAGUGAGAAAAAACAUGAGUCAAAUGCUUAUGUUUAGAUUUCAAGCUGUGACGCGGAGUGAAAUCAAAGUAGCGAAGGUCAUGAUGUCACACUGCCAAGAAAAGCUUCUAGCCAGAGCAAUUUUACCCGUACCGCAAACCGACACAGGUAGUCGAGUGGAGAACACUCAGGUGAGCGAGAGAACUCUCGUUAAGGAACUCGGCAAAAUGACCCCGUAACUUCGGGAGAAGGGGUGCUGAUGGUAAAAGAUCAGCCGCAGUGAAUAGGCCCAAACAACUGUUUAUCAAAAACACAGGUAUCUGCAAAAUCGUAAGAUGACGUAUAGGUGCUGACACCUGCCCGGUGCUGGAAGGUUAAGAGGAGAGCUUAGCGCAAGCGAAGGUUUGAAUUGAAGCCCCAGUAAACGGCGGCCGUAACUAUAACGGUCCUAAGGUAGCGAAAUUCCUUGUCGGGUAAGUUCCGACCUGCACGAAAGGUGUAAUGAUUUGGGCACUGUCUCAACGAGAGACUCGGUGAAAUUAUAAUACCCGUGAAGAUGCGGGUUACCCGCGACAGGACGGAAAGACCCCAUGGAGCUUUACUGUAGCUUGAUAUUGAGUAUUUGUUAAACAUGUACAGGAUAGGUAGGAGCCAGAGAAAGUAGGACGCUAGUCUUACUGGAGGCAAUGUUGGGAUACUACCCUUGUUUGAUGGAUCCUCUAACUCGCAGAGCUGAGCGUUCUGGAGGACAGUGUCAGGUGGGCAGUUUGACUGGGGCGGUCGCCUCCUAAAAUGUAACGGAGGCGCCCAAAGGUUCCCUCAGAAUGGUUGGAAAUCAUUCGCAGAGUGUAAAGGUAUAAGGGAGCUUGACUGCGAGAGGUACACCUCGAGCAGGGACGAAAGUCGGGCUUAGUGAUCUGGUGGUACUGCAUGGAAAGGCCAUCACUCAACGGAUAAAAGCUACCCUGGGGAUAACAGGCUUAUCU